AGUGAACGCUGGCGGUAGGCCUAACACAUGCAAGUCGAACGGCAGCACAGUAAGAGCUUGCUCUUACGGGUGGCGAGUGGCGGACGGGUGAGGAAUACAUCGGAAUCUACUUUUUCGUGGGGGAUAACGUAGGGAAACUUACGCUAAUACCGCAUACGACCUACGGGUGAAAGCAGGGGAUCUUCGGACCUUGCGCGAUUGAAUGAGCGGAUGUCGGAUUAGCUAGUUGGCGGGGUAAAGGCCCACCAAGGCGACGAUCCGUAGCUGGUCUGAGAGGAUGAUCAGCCACACUGGAACUGAGACACGGUCCAGACUCCUACGGGAGGCAGCAGUGGGGAAUAUUGGACAAUGGGCGCAAGCCUGAUCCAGCCAUACCGCGUGGGUGAAGAAGGCCUUCGGGUUGUAAAGCCCUUUUGUUGGGAAAGAAAAGCAGCAGGUUAAUACCCCGCUGUUCUGACGGUACUCAAAGAAUAAGCACCGGCUAACUUCGUG
rnacentral:rRNA from 1 species